UACGGAGGGUGCGAGCGUUGUCCGGAAUCACUGGGCGUAAAGGGCGCGUAGGCGGCCUGAUAAGUAGGGGGUGAAAUCUUGCGGCUUAACCGCAAGGCUGCCUUCUAAACUGUCAGGCUAGAGCACAGUAGAGGCAAGCGGAAUUCCGGGUGUAGCGGUGGAAUGCGUAGAGAUCCGGAAGAACACCGGAGGCGAAGGCGGCUUGCUGGGCGUGAUCUGACGCUGAGGCGCGAAAGCGUGGGGAGCGAACAGG
rnacentral:rRNA from 1 species